rnacentral:rRNA from 1 species
AAAUUGAAGAGUUUGAUCAUGGCUCAGAUUGAACGCUGGCGGCAGGCCUAACACAUGCAAGUCGAACGGUAACAGGAAGCAGCUUGCUGUUUCGCUGACGAGUGGCGGACGGGUGAGUAAUGUCUGGGAAACUGCCUGAUGGAGGGGGAUAACUACUGGAAACGGUGGCUAAUACCGCAUAACGUCGCAAGACCAAAGAGGGGGACCUU